rnacentral:rRNA from 1 species
UUGCUGGCGACCGGCGCACGGGUGAGUAACACGUAUCCAACCUGCCGAUAACUCGGGGAUAGCCUUUCGAAAGAAGGAUUAAUACCCGAUGGCAUAAUUAGACCGCAUGGUCUUAUUAUUAAAGAAUUUCGGUUAUCGAUGGGGAUGCGUUCCAUUAGGCAGUUGGUGAGGUAACGGCUCACCAAACCUUCGAUGGAUAGGGGUUCUGAGAGGAAGGUCCCCCACAUUGGAACUGAGACACGGUCCAA